ensembl:lncRNA
AUGUUCUUAUAUCUGUAUACAUUGCUAGGUCAGCUUAGCUGGUCUUAAAACUGUUUGGAAUAUCCAGCUUCAGAAAUUUCUUGUGCUCUCCUGAUUUACUUUCAUAACCAAGGUUAUUUGAGCUUUGAAACAAGCUAAGAAAAAUGUCCCUUUUUCUUUUCUCUCGUAGUCACUGGUAACUCCAAAGAUUGGAGUUAACUGAAAGAGCUUAGCUAUGAUAUACUCUGGGCCUGAUUUUAUUUUUCAUUGGAAUAGAGAUAUGAGUCAUUUCUUCAUUUCAUUAUGGUAAAAUUCUGUUUUUCUAGGAGUGUGUUCAUAUUAUCCAAGUUUCAGAUUGGCAUAAAGUGGCUCAUAGCAUUCUGUGUAAUUACACUCCAUUUCCUAAAUGCAAAUAUACUUACUUGGAGCAUCUUUUGACCAGUUAUUUUAGUCUGAGUUUUCCCAAAAGCAGACCCAAAGAUAAGUGCAAGCAGAUUUGGGAAACACCAGUAUUUAGAGAGCAGAGUGAUGAGAUGAAAGAAAGCAGCCAAUGUCUUGCAUUAGGAAGACUUAACACUGGAAAUGACUGGAACCUAGUCUCCUGGGAAACUAAAGGCAUUCCAUCAGAAGGGCAAAAUAAUAGGGCGUUUACAGACUAAUUCCAAUAAACAGUUGGUUAAGCCUUGCUCCAAAGACACGUUAAUUUCCUAGCACUUGGGCCCUGUCCUGUGCAAAGAAAAAGGGUCUCUUGUGGCUUUGGAAGAGCCCUCAGAUGUAACACUGGCAGUUAGACACCAGCUAGCACCUGCUGGUAUGGUAAGACCUGAGGGGUGUGGGUGGACACGCACCAGUCUUACCAGAUGUACCUCCUCCUUGGCUUUUCCAGAGAGUCUUGGCCCUAUUGCAUCACGCAUUUCAUUAGGGUCUGCUGCUGCUAAGUCACUUCAGUCAUGUCCGACUCUGUGCAACCCCAUAGAUGGCAGCCCACCAGGCUCCCCCGUCCCUGGGAUUCUCCAGGCAAGAACACUGGAGUGGGUUGCCAUUUCCUUCUCCAAUGCAUGAAAGUGAAAAGUGAAGUCGCUCAGCCGUGUCCGACUCUUAGCGACCCCAUGGACUGCAGCCUACCAGGCUCCUCUGCCCAUGGGAUUUUCCAGGCAAGAGUACU